AGAGUUUGAUCCUGGCUCAGGAUGAACGCUAGCUACAGGCUUAACACAUGCAAGUCGAGGGGCAUCAGGAAGAAAGCUUGCUUUCUUUGCUGGCGACCGGCGCACGGGUGAGUAACACGUAUCCAACCUGCCCUUUACUCGGGGAUAGCCUUUCGAAAGAAAGAUUAAUACCCGAUAGCAUAAUGAUUCCGCAUGGUUUCAUUAUUAAAGGAUUCCGGUAAAGGAUGGGGAUGCGUUCCAUUAGGUUGUUGGUGAGGUAACGGCUCACCAAGCCUUCGAUGGAUAGGGGUUCUGAGAGGAAGGUCCCCCACAUUGGAACUGAGACACGGUCCAAACUCCUACGGGAGGCAGCAGUGAGGAAUAUUGGUCAAUGGGCGCUAGCCUGAACCAGCCAAGUAGCGUGAAGGAUGAAGGCUCUAUGGGUCGUAAACUUCUUUUAUAUAAGAAUAAAGUGCAGUAUGUAUACUGUUUUGUAUGUAUUAUAUGAAUAAGGAUCGGCUAACUCCGUGCCAGCAGCCGCGGUAAUACGGAGGAUCCGAGCGUUAUCCGGAUUUAUUGGGUUUAAAGGGAGCGUAGGUGGACUGGUAAGUCAGUUGUGAAAGUUUGCGGCUCAACCGUAAAAUUGCAGUUGAUACUGUCAGUCUUGAGUACAGUAGAGGUGGGCGGAAUUCGUGGUGUAGCGGUGAAAUGCUUAGAUAUCACGAAGAACUCCGAUUGCGAAGGCAGCUCACUGGACUGCAACUGACACUGAUGCUCGAAAGUGUGGGUAUCAAACAGGAUUAGAUACCCUGGUAGUCCACACAGUAAACGAUGAAUACUCGCUGUUUGCGAUAUACAGUAAGCGGCCAAGCGAAAGCAUUAAGUAUUCCACCUGGGGAGUACGCCGGCAACGGUGAAACUCAAAGGAAUUGACGGGGGCCCGCACAAGCGGAGGAACAUGUGGUUUAAUUCGAUGAUACGCGAGGAACCUUACCCGGGCUUAAAUUGCAGUGGAAUGAUGUGGAAACAUGUCAGUGAGCAAUCACCGCUGUGAAGGUGCUGCAUGGUUGUCGUCAGCUCGUGCCGUGAGGUGUCGGCUUAAGUGCCAUAACGAGCGCAACCCUUAUCUUUAGUUACUAACAGGUCAUGCUGAGGACUCUAGAGAGACUGCCGUCGUAAGAUGUGAGGAAGGUGGGGAUGACGUCAAAUCAGCACGGCCCUUACGUCCGGGGCUACACACGUGUUACAAUGGGGGGUACAGAAGGCAGCUAGCGGGUGACCGUAUGCUAAUCCCAAAAUCCUCUCUCAGUUCGGAUCGAAGUCUGCAACCCGACUUCGUGAAGCUGGAUUCGCUAGUAAUCGCGCAUCAGCCACGGCGCGGUGAAUACGUUCCCGGGCCUUGUACACACCGCCCGUCAAGCCAUGGGAGCCGGGGGUACCUGAAGUACGUAACCGCAAGGAUCGUCCUAGGGUAAAACUGGUGACUGGGGCUAAGUCGUAACAAGGUAGCCGUACCGGAAGGUGCGGCUG
rnacentral:rRNA from 2 species